GACGAACGCUGGCGGCGUGCUUAACACAUGCAAGUCGAACGGAAAGGCCCUGCUUUUGUGGGGUGCUCGAGUGGCGAACGGGUGAGUAACACGUGAGUAACCUGCCCUUGACUUUGGGAUAACUUCAGGAAACUGGGGCUAAUACCGGAUAGGAGCUCCUGCUGCAUGGUGGGGGUUGGAAAGUUUCGGCGGUUGGGGAUGGACUCGCGGCUUAUCAGCUUGUUGGUGGGGUAGUGGCUUACCAAGGCUUUGACGGGUAGCCGGCCUGAGAGGGUGACCGGCCACAUUGGGACCGAGAUACGGCCCAGACUCCUACGGGAGGCGGCAGUGGGGAAUAUUGCACAAUGGGCGGAAGCCUGAUGCAGCAACGCCGCGCGGGAUGACGGCCUUCGGGUUGUAAACCGCUUUCGCCUGUGACGAAGCGUGAGUGACGGUAAUGGGUAAAGAAGCACCGGCUAACUACGUG
rnacentral:rRNA from 1 species